rnacentral:rRNA from 1 species
UACGGAGGGGGCUAGCGUUGUUCGGAAUUACUGGGCGUAAAGCGCACGUAGGCGGCUUUGCAAGUCAGAGGUGAAAGCCCGGGGCUCAACCCCGGAAUAGCCUUUGAGACUGCAUCGCCUGAACAUCGGAGAGGUAAGUGGAAUUCCGAGUGUAGAGGUGAAAUUCGUAGAUAUUCGGAAGAACACCAGUGGCGAAGGCGACUUACUGGACGAUUGUUGACGCUGAGGUGCGAAAGCGUGGGGAGCAAACAGG